UCUCUCUCUUAAUAUCUCACGUCUCUCUCCCUUUCACGUCUCCCUUCAUAUUCUGAUGGAAAGAGAUCCAUGUAUCUCUCAAAUUGGAGCAAGGAAAUUGUGCAUGUGGAUACCUCUCUCAAUCUCUAACAUCUCUAUCUUCUUCUCCACGUGGAAACUGAUCCAUGCAUCUCCCAAUUUGCAACAAGGAAGUUGGGGCAGGGAUCUCCAGCGAUCAAGAUCGUCUUCUCAAACAGAUGCUUCUCCACGUGUAAACUGAUUCGUGUCUCUCCCAAAUUGCAACAAGAAAGUUGGGGCAUGGAUCUCUGGCGCUCUUGGAUCACCUCCGAUCAGGUUCGUCUUAUCAAACAUAUUUCUUUUUCCGGUUUGGAUUCAAGUUUUCUCAUCAUGUCCUCUGAUAGUUAUAUCCAGGGAUUCAAUUUCCUACGGCUUCUUGAAGCAGAUGAUAGCAAUGGCAAAAUAAAAUAAGUGUUUCUAUCCCUCGGAAAGUAAGAAAUAGAUCUCCCUGUAGCAUACAGAAAAAAACCUAACUCCUUCCUUCUGUACUGGUAGAUCUCUAUUUUCUCUACUUAUUAACCCUAACUCAAUUAGCAACUCUCUACUGUGAUUUGGCUUCCCCAAUGAUAGUUUUAUCAAUCCCUCAACAAAGAGAGGCAGGGGGUGUGGGGGAUAUGGAGAAGGACAGAGUUGCUGUGGUUGGUGCAGUCGCAAAUGGUCGAUGACGUCCUUGCUGAGCCGUGGAGGGAAGGUGAUCUUGAAGAAAAAUUAUCUCGCAACACAUCGAUCAUCCACGUUCCUCGCUGACAGCAUGUCCAAGACCUCGCCCCCGUUGGUGACUUCAAUAAGGACGAUUUUGAUAUCGGGUCAGUUAAAGUAAACCCCUCAACGCAACAGCAGGGUAAGCAGACCAAUAUGAUGUGUCUAAAACUAAUAAAAGAAUCAUGUUAUGCUAGAUAUAUAACAACCUGAUUAAGUGUUCCCGAAUUAUAGUACGUAUUAGUUUUCUCAAAGUUCUAGGCCACGACGUUUGACAGAUCCAAGGAGUAGAUGCACUGACUGAAUUUUGAAGCCAAUGACUCAAAAAUUUCCAAGUAACACCAUCUUUGUUUUGUUUAUUUUAUAAGUUCAAAAUUUGAUAGCACUUACCGUCAUAGACAUGUGGUUGUUGAUAUUUUUCCUUAAAAUCAGACUAAUCGUAAGUCUGCUUCUAUGGCUGAGGUAACUGAACAUUACUAUCUUCCAGAUUUCAUAUGUUUAUUGUAACUAGGUGAAUUCAGGUCCGACGGGGUCUUCCCUUUUGACAUGUGUGCAUUUUUCUAAGUUAGCGUCUAAUUGCUGCAAUUAAUCACAAAUGGAAGUGCAGUUUGAAAGUUGAAGGAGGACAUGUUCUCUACGGUCAGCAAUAAUUGAUAAAGGUAGUGGUAACAGAGGUAAUAAUUGAGAAUUCAUCCAUCAUGUGAUUUCUACUUUUUUCUGAUGCUCUCUCCAUUUUCUUCUAGAUCUCAUGAUAAAUUAGUUACCUCAGUGUCAUGUAAACUAUAUUCAGUUUUGGUACUUGAUUUGGAAACACCAUAAAAAACCGUAUCAUGCUCAAACUUAAAGCAUCUUCUAAUUUCCAAGUUUUACUUAUUGAACGAUGCACUUCAAAAUUUUCAUGCUAUAGACACAUGCAGGAACUGGAGUAUAAUUCUAUCAUCUAUACCUAAGAAAGACAAUCCAACAUCGAUGCUCUGAAGAGUACAAUAAUGUAUCCUUUAGAUUUCUAUAACAUGCACGCAUUACUACCUGCUUUUAUGCACCCGAUCUGAUGUUUCAAGAUGUACACAUGUGUAUGCUCGGUUUGAGUUAUUCAUGUCUUCACUAAUUCGCCAAUGAGGCUAAAUAACUAUGGUUAUUUUAUGCCUAUUGCCAUGUGAGAUUGUUAAAAGAAAUUCCCUGAGAUGUGUAACGCUGAUGCUCUUGCUACUUUUGGCCAUUAUGUAAUUUAGAUUAUUCACAUUUCUAUAAAUGCAUUUCCAACUGCGUAAUUGCUUAGCUUAUUGGUUUUAUUUCUUCUAGCUUUAUAAAUUCACAAGGAUUAUAUAAGUCUGCGGAGUUGUUGGUUUUAGUAGGUCUAUUUCAUGCAUGUAAGCUACGACCCAUAGCUUUUCAAGACUAUUUGUUCCCUCUUUUACUCCUCUAAUAAUACCCAUUAUGUUGGAUAACCAAUUCUCUUUUGUGCUCAUUUUCUCGAGACAGCGAAGAUUUGUUUUGCUACUCAUGUAUAUAUUUGAACUUUUAUUGGUCUUCACAAUUCCAUCAAUCAAUAUACACUUGAAGAAAAUCCGGUCAAUAUAAUAUAUACAUUUUGGCCCAUACAUGUUGCGAGAGUAAUUUUUAAAGUAUAUUUAAAUAGUCUUUUUUAUUUUUAUGCGUGGUCAAUAUAUAUUAAUAUUAGGACACAAUACAUGCUCAUCACUGUAAUUCCCAACUUUGUUGAGCACCAAAUGCACUCGGCAAAGGCCAAAAAAGAUCCCAGUGAAGUAUUUGCUGAGUGAAACACUCGAAAAACGCGAGUAUGCUGGACGCCUGCCAGUAAUGUUAAUUUUGCUGGGGUUUUCCACGGGAACUCAGUAGACAUCUGAAAAUACCUUCGCCGAGUGCAGAACACCGGGAACACGACAAGCAAAUGACAUAGACGACGGAAUAACGAGUUAGUCAGUCAUGCCACAUGGCACCAUACUUUUGUUGUUUUCUGCAGUCGGCGAAACUAUGCCCAGAUGGUGCCAUGUGUCAUGUUUGCCGAGUAUAACAUUAGGCAAAAGGGUCUUAGACACGAGACAUCUAGCCUAAUGAAGGUAACUCUGAAUGUCCAUGUUGUUUGAUUUCUAGAUCGAUGCUAAUAUUUGAUUUCCUUUCUAGCAUUAUAAGUCAACAUACAAGAUGUUUCUAAAAUUUGUGUAUUAACAUCACGUACAUUUGAAGUUUCUGUAGCGUUCGAGGAUGAGCAAAUGGUGUAUAUGGUGCUGAAGGAAGCUUAGGAAGAAGCUUCUUGACGAAAUACAUAGAGAAGAUGAUGUCCAGGAAAGGUAAAAGCAGGGAAAUAAAAAAUGAUCAGUUUAGAAUUGUUAAUGUGAAAGCAGAUUUAGUUUCAGCAAGAGGUGGAUUCUGAAGAUAACAGCAGGUCAACAGCGCAAGUGCUAUGAUAAGUCGUAACAUGAUUGCUGGAAGAUAUAUUCGUACAAUAAGAGUUACGUGCAUGCAGCUGUAGUCUCACUGAAUUAUAUCGAAGAUAUACUGUGUAUUACUAUA